rnacentral:rRNA from 1 species
GACGAACGCUGGCGGCGUGCCUAAUACAUGCAAGUCGAGCGGACGAAUCGAAAGCUUGCUUUUGAUUCGUUAGCGGCGGACGGGUGAGUAACACGUGGGCAACCUGCCCUGUAGACGGGGAUAACACCGAGAAAUCGGUGCUAAUACCGGAUAACACGAAAUGUCGCAUGACGUUUCGUUGAAAGACGGCGCAAGCUGUCGCUACAGGAUGGGCCCGCGGCGCAUUAGCUAGUUGGUGAGGUAACGGCUCACCAAGGCGACGAUGCGUAGCCGACCUGAGAGGGUGAUCGGCUACACUGGGACUGAGACACGGCCCAGACUCCUACGGGAGGCAGCAGUAGGGAAUCUUCCGCAAUGUACGAAAGUCUGACGGAGCAACGCCGCGUGAGCGAAGAAGGCCUUCGGGUCGUAAAGCUCUGUUGUUAGGGAAGAACAAGUAACGCAGUAACUGGCGUUACCGUGACGGUACCUAACGAGAAAGCCACGGCUAACUACGUG